rnacentral:rRNA from 1 species
UACGUAGGUGGCGAGCGUUGUCCGGAUUUACUGGGCGUAAAGGGAGCGUAGGCGGACUUUUAAGUGAGAUGUGAAAUACCCGGGCUCAACUUGGGUGCUGCAUUUCAAACUGGAAGUCUAGAGUGCAGGAGAGGAGAAUGGAAUUCCUAGUGUAGCGGUAAAAAUGCGUAGAGAUUAGGAAGAACACCAGUGGCGAAGGCGAUUCUCUGGACUGUAACUGACGCUGAGGCUCGAAAGCGUGGGGAGCAAACAGGAUUAGAUACCCUGGUA